UUUGUUAUGUGUCUAAGCUCUGUUACCACAAAAAAUAUAUUUAAUUUAGUCCUUAUAGUAGAUUCUAUCACACGUUUGAAAGUUGUCCAACGGUCGAAUAAAUAUGUUGUAGUUUGACCUAGAUAAAUAUAAGACUGGGAAAAUAAAUAUAAAAAAAAUUCCGACAUCUUAAAAGUAGAUACCUAUAUUCGCAAUGGAAAUAUUAUUUUAAAAAUCGGGAUUAUUUAAUUUGAUACAACUGAAUAAAAUGGCUCUAGUCGAUCUAUUUAAAAAAAACAUCAACCAAAUAUACGAGUUUGGCUACUGCCAGUGCAGUACUGCAUCCGUCGUGAUCCGAAUAAAGCUUAUAUUGUCCACAUUGAUUAAACUAUCAUUAUUAAAAUCAUUUUGAUUCUUCUAUAUUUGUACGUACUUUUUUACAACUCUGAACCCGGAAGCGAGGUAUUCUGGGAAGGUUAUUUUAAAGAUGGCGGGCGUUUUGGAAUUUAUUCGUGGAGUGCAUGAGAAAUGUUCAAUAUACAGCUACUUGGAUUACACAAACAGAGAAAGAUAGAUUAUACCAGUUAAAUUGAGAGGUUUUAUUUGAAAAUCCUAUAUUUGAGCACCAUUCAUGGCAGUCAUGUCGAGGAAGUUAUAAAAAGGUUGAUAAGGGCUUUGUAUAUGGAAGCUAGAUGACAUUACUACUUAUCAUACAUCAUACACAACUAUUUGUCACAUACCGACUUGGGAUUGAAACCAAGCGACUGAACUCAAUAACACUCCUCAAUAACACUCGUCUAUGAAACCACCCAGAUGGCAAAGAAAUAAAGACUUUUUAAUUAUGUACCGAACUCAUAUAUGUAUCUAUGGUAGCACAAAAUUCACCAGAAUGUAGGCCAAAGCUUUACUUUACAAGCAGUAGGCUUAAAAUAUUUUCCGUCUGAUCUUGUAAGAGUCAAUUGUUUAUGAAUAGUUUGCCUCAAGCAGAUAUCCUGUCACUGUGUCACAGUAUCAUAUAACCGCUCUUUGGCUUGAACUGAGUUGUAUCAGUGAGUUGAAAAUCUACUGCAGCCAGUAUAUUAGAUUCAAAAUUCUAACGAGCUUUCGUCUAACU